rnacentral:misc_RNA from 1 species
UCUGUAUGUCAGUUUGUCAAACCAUGCAAUGUCUGUUUCUAUCCCUACCGGAGGAGCUGACAGUGAGAUUCAGGGGCGUGUUGAUGAGCUGAUUGUUAGUCAAUCCCGCUGUCAUUCCCUGGAGACCCGCAGCUAGCGACGCGACUUGCGAUUUUCAGGUGACGGACUAUUCUUCCGCGAGUUCUUCAUCUCAUCCAUCAUCAUCUGAUGCUCAUGGAGCGAGCCGGUCGCGGCCGCCACCGGUUCAGGGCUGCCAACGCUACUCCUGUCACUGUCCUGUAACAAACGUGCGUUCAAAUGGACAACGUGGACGCGAUCGCCGGACCCAACCUACCCCAAGGGGAUUCGAUAAACGUCCCAACUUUCGAUGACGCUCGCCGAGUAUCCAGGAAUACGUCCAACUUUUUAAAUUAUCGAUCCCCCCGCAUUCUGCUGAUAUAAUUAAUUCCUGUUGCGUAAGCAGCUUGACAUACUAGGAGCAACUUUCGAAUGCAAGAAUAUGAUGUAUACUUUUAUUUUUUCCUUUCGCGUCAAUUUUUUAUCGUUUACCGUCAAUAUAGAAAAAGUAAAUGCACUUAAUUUUAAUUAUUGAAAUUGAAGUUUUCGAUUGAACAGUGAUUGACAUUUUUGUGUUUAAUUAGUUUUAGAGAAAAAUAUUGUGUAUUGGCAAUUGCGGAAUAACACAGUGCAAAAACAAAUCCCAUGUUUCUCUAUCGUUAAAGUAUUUCGUGAAUUUAUGGAAAAUAUAAAAAAGAUAUUUUCAAAACAUUAAGGCUUUUUGUUUGUUGAGAUAUGAGUGAGAUUCGGACAUAAAAAUUAGAUCACAGUAGGGUUAAAAAGAUACACAUGAUAUAAUUUACCUCUAGAAAAAUAA